AGUGGAUAUUUUAGGGGAUUUGUGGUCUGCUUGGGUCAAUAAAAAUAAUCCUUAACUUUGUUAACAUGUUACUAGAAUGCAAAUCCUGAUUCUUUCUUAUUUCUACAAUCUUUCAUGGAUUGCUCGAGCAAGGAAACCAUAUACCUACUUACCUAGUUACCUCUGCGACAUAUUAAUUUGAGAAUAGUGUUGUUUAUUUUCGAUCUUAUUUAGUGGUUUUAUAGUGUCUGCUUAAUUUAUUUGUGGUGUUGAUUUUUUCUUGAUAUUAGCGAUUACUUGCUCCCAUAAUAUUCUUGGUCAGUGGUUUUGCUUAUUUAUUUUUUGUUUUAUCUGUCCUUUGCUAGAAGCAGUUCCUCCAGUGUUUCGUCUGGUUGUAUAUCUUGACUCCUUUCUAGUGUCCAAAAUACCUUUUGCUGCCCAUAGUUUCAUAAUUACAUGCAUUUCAUAUUGUUAAUACCUUCAAUUAAUAUCAUCAAGCAUUGUUAUAAAAAGAAAAUUUUUCAAAUAUUUCCAAACGUGAACACUUUUCAACUCACUGUUUAGACUGGUCCCUGUCGUAAACAUAAGGUUAGGUCUUUUUCAUCUUUCAAUGAUGCGAAUACUGGUAGUGCCAACAUUUACACAUUCUGCAAUAAAUAUCCAGAUCAGAAAAUCUUGGUGUUUUUUUAUGGCAAUGUUAUAAAAAUAUCGAUUUUCUUGAAGUGAUCCACCUAAUACUUCGCUUCCUUCUUCCGAUUAACAAAUACUUAUGAAAUUCGUUUAUUUGGACUUGAUAAGAAUGUGAAUGUAUUCAUUUGGUAUUGUAGAUUAGCAAGUUUCCAUAAUAUAUAUAACUCCAAUUAGUAAGGUUAAAUAUUGUUGGCUUGCAAACACUAUUCAUUAUUGAUUGUCCAAUUCUUUAAAAGGAUUUCUUCAAUCACCCUGCAAUUUUCCUCAAAAAACUCUUCUAAGGGAAACAUUUAUUGUCUAUAGUGCCCUUUUUUCUCUUUUGAACUAUAAUGUCCGUUUUCCACCUACAUGCUUUCAUAAGAAAAUGGAAAAAUAUCUUUACUGCUAUACCUCACACAUCAAGAAGGAAUAUUUAAAUUGACAGGCAUACCCUAUUUUGGUAAUAAUUUUCCAAACUGGUUAGUGAAGCAGAGGUCAAUUUUUUUUGUUAUUUAACUUUACUGAUGCAUACGAAGAAGCAAUUGAACUGCAAGUUAAAUUUAAUUUUAACUUUUCCAUUACUUUCACCUGUUACCCUUUUAUGUUCAGAUUGAAACAUUAUGCAUCAAGAAUGCUUAAAAGCAUGUACUCCUACCAAGAAAUUAUAUAAUAGUUGGAGGCUUGGGUUACACAAAGGCAAACCUCCAGAUUUUUCUGUUGGCUUUAUCUUGAGUGGCAAUAAAUAUGAGAACCAGGGUUCGAUCCUAACCUAUCUCCAUUGGAAAGGUAAGCUUUUAGUCUUAAUUUUAUUUGUUAGUGAAGAUGUAUGUGUAUCAUUUAUAUGAGUGCGAUGCUAUCUAGGACAUUGUAAUUAUUAUUUCAGUCUAAUGAUAGAUUGAAAUCUACCUUACGUUUGACUCAAUUAAGUCUCAGUGGUGAGCCAAUUUUCAGAUUCUUAUAAAAAAUUCCUUACAUUGCAUAGCUAUUAAUCUAGGUUAACAAAUCUUAUAUUUUAACUAAGUUAUUAACUUAUAAAGUUUUAAAAUGCGAAACUCAAUCCGGCAGGAAUUCUGAUCUUGUCGAGCCUUAGAUUUGAUCAUGUUAGACUACUCCAUAAAUUUAAAUUGAUUAGGAUUUUGUUAUGCAUUAUUUUGUGUUGCUAUAUGGAUGGUGAAACCUUUUGAUUGAGAGCCCCCGCCAUUAUCUCUUUAUGGAAUAAAAGCAGACAUGCUUGUUUGUCCCUGUAGCUGGAUUUUGAUUUUUAUCCUCUAAAAGAGAAGUUGUAAAAGUUCUUUGUGCGAAUUGCCACCUAUUGUGGCAUUGCUCUUGCUAUAUUUAUUAUCUUGUUGUUAAUCCAUAGAUCCAAGCGUAUCAUGUACAAUCUAAUAAUAAAAUUUAUUUGCACAUAAAUAUUCCAUAUUUUGUAUGUAAUAUUAUUUGAUGUAGAUCUAUUGGCUCAUACAAAUUGCACAUAGUAGAUCACUUGGGUUGACUAGUGAUUCAUGAUUAAUGUUAGUCUUAUAUGAAGGCAUAUCAGAGUUAUGUGACUAUUUUCAUUAAUGGUUAUGAAAAUAGGGUAUGAUUAUGAUCCUCCAUGUUAAAUUUGAAAAGAAAAGUAAUAGUUCAUGGGGUCAUGAUUGGUCGGGAUUUUCUUAAAUUUGACUUUACCCACUAGAUCUUGAAGCCUCAAAAUCUCCUCGCCCCAUAUUGGUGCAUUGACCAUGUACAAUACAUUGUUUCUGAGCGGACUAAAGGAAUCCCAAGCAAGAGUAGAUGCACAACCACAAGCUUAGUCUUGUAGAUGAUAAUGGCUGCUUAAACUACUAUUCGGUGGUGUACGGUCAGUUAGAUUUUGGAACCAGCAAUGUUCCCUUACCAAAAUAGAAGGGGAACUUGGUUCGACCCUUUAAGUGCUACAAGUGAUGCCUCUGCAAAAUUUCUUAUUGAUGGAUGAAGAAAUCUCCUCAUCAUCUAGAAAGUAUUGUUUUAUAAUUUUGAGUUUAAAGAGUUUGUUUAUGUUAUGAAGUGAAUAUGAAGACUAUGUUGUUGUUGGUUCUUUUUUUGUUUGUUGAGUAGACAAUACAAUUACUAGAUAAAUGAUCAAAAUUAAAGGAAGGUUCUUUGGUUCUUUUUCUUUUGUUGCUUAGACUUUGAAAAAGUGAUUUUGUUGUAUAUCAAAAAAGCCAACCAUUAGUUAAGAUUUUUCGAGGUGAUUUUUGUUCAUGUUUAAAAUCACGAAGCCAUGGGAAUAUUGAAUAUUUCAUUAAUGAUCAAAAUUAAAAUUCUUUGAUUUAAUUUAAUCUAUGUUCAAUUCGAGUAAUAAAUGAUUUCUUUUGUUAAUUGUUUCUUCAAUCUAUAGCGUGUAAUUUUUGAAAGAGGAUGAGAACUAUAUCUCAUAGACAAGGUUUGCUGAAUCGGUACCAAGGGUUGUAUUAGUUGGUGACUAGUUAGGUACGGUAUAGGUCUGUACUGUGCCAUUCUAGGGCAUAUUGAAACAUGGAGGGGAAGGGGGAGAGGGAAAAGGAGAGAGAGGGAAGAGAGGGAGAGGGACGGGGAGGGAAGAAGGGGGAAAUAGAUUUGGACAUUCUUUGGCCGACGACUCUUGGCAAAACAUGUGUCUCCGGUGAAGCUCGGGAUGAGGAGAGAGAAAUCAAGAAUGCCAUGGAAACCCUAGAUCGGUGAUGUAGCUCCAUGGAUAGGGGGCAGGAUUUUAUAAAUAAGCGGCUAAACUAUCCCAGACCGGCGUCGAUAUGGUUUGGUAUGGGCUGAACCCCAUUGUUCAGGUUGGUUCAACAAUCACUACCUUAUACUAUUUAUUGUGCGAAAGGCUUUGAUUGGGGCUGCAUGUGAACCAACUUAGAAGCUUGAAGUCUCCUAAUAUCAAUUGCAUGCCUGACACUACAACAAGGAGCACAAUUUCUUUAUUUCUUCUAUUUCUUCCAUCUUCUAUUACUUUAUCUACAUAUGGGGCUGUAAUGCUUCGUCGGAGUAAUAGAUCUCACCUCUUUUUGGUUUAUUUCUUAAUUUCCUUAUAUCAACCUUAGCGUACUUAAGGUUGUUAAAUGAUGAUGUAUUUAUAAUGGUGUUCUCCUAGAGAUAGAAUUACAACCUAAGCUCUUCCCUUGUUUGAAUUUAAAUAAAAAUAUAAUUACCAUCUUCUCCGUUCUCACAUGCACCACACAUGCCAUGCUAAGAUUAAUAUAAUUUGGUUAAUGUGGCCUAGGACCGUCUGAAGAUGACUUGAACUAGGACUUGAGGGAGGAACAAGAGCUAGAAGUGCGGGGUCCAAGUAAAGAGAGCCCUUGCAAUAUCAUGAGAGAGAUAAGGGGGAUAGGGGAGAGUGACAUAACGGAGAAAGGAAGAAGAGGCGAUUUGAUCGAUGAGGUUAUGCUUCGAAGAUCAACACACAUUUAGAAGAAAAUUGGAUUGAAGAAUCCUACAUUUGAUGAAAGAAAUUCUCUCAAAAAAAAAUCCUUCAUUUGAUGAAAGAAAUUCUCUCUCUCAAAAAAAAUUAUUAAUAUCUUAAAGGCUGCUCGUUAAAAUGUAUUAUGCCCAUAUUUUUAGGACAUGAUACUCUAUCCCUAAUUUGAGCAUUUAAACCCGAUACAGAAUUAUACUCGAAAUGGGACUCAACAAUAAGAAAAUAUACUAAAAUUAUUUUAUUACAAAUAUGGACACUUGGCUAAAAUUUGAUACAAUCCCUAAUGAAAAAUUUAUAAGAAAAUUUGUCUAAAACCUCUGAAUCCUGUUCGCUCAAAUGCUUCCUUACUACAGUCUUCACCCGCGAAUCCGCUGCCUUCUCUGAGGUCUAGUUGGUUAUAGUAUCUAUUGGUUGUACUCUGAGUUGCAUCAGAGAGAGAGAGAGAGGUGGGCCAGGGAUGGUGCAUUGGGGGUUUCAGGCUGAAGCUAAGAAAAUCUAUCCGAUAUUAACUGUGUAAGCUUUUUUUCCUUUUCUCUCUUCCUCUUGGGUUUAAAGGUCAAAAAUUAUAACAAAAUCCUAUGUAGGUAGGUAUUAAAACAUUAGACAAGCAUCAUCACUUCACAUCAUAUUAUAUGGUUUGAUUUGAACUAUUUAUUUUUAAAUCAUCACUUUUAAAGUGUUUAAACAAACUCAUAACAUUUUUUUUGUGACUCUCUUGAAGGAAAGACAUGUUUAGCUAUUAUUGUCUUCUAUUACAAUGUCUUCCUUUUAUAUUACCAGUUAAAGUGCAUAUACGUAUGCAUAUGCAUGUCCAUCCAAUGAAUAAAUCAUUAAGAAAUUACUCUGCUAUAUACGAAAGGCAUCUUGCCAUUUGAUUAGUUUAAUGACAUAAGUGCACUUCUAUAGUUAGUGCAUUAUAUUGACAUGCUGGAACAACGCCUUAUUUGAUGCAAGAAGCAUAGUGGACUAGUAAGUUCAUUUCUUAAUGUCAAGUUUUAUUGUUAAACAACUAUUUAACAUUUUACGUAAUGCUUUAAGAAUAGAUUAGUCAUCAAGAAGUGUGUGUGCUUCUCAUCAAGUUGUCUUCUAGGUUUUUGCAAGAAUUGCACUUAUGGUUUCAUAAUCAUUGCAUUUGUUGAUAAGCAAUAUAAUAUUAUAUUCUCAUCAGGCUUGACUUUGCAGUCAUUUGAUGAUUGCUUCCCUAGGCUAACUAGAACAUGCACAAUCAACCCAAUCAACAAUCCAUGUUAUACACCAUAUAUGUUGCAAGCUUGUGUGAAUUUCUUGGCUCCUUUUGCAAACACAUGUAGAUUCAUACACUGUUUAUGAAUGAAAGCUAGAUGGGUCUUUGCCCAGCUUUCUCUCUCUCUGAAAAAAUAAAGCUGGGCCACAACGUUAGAAAAAAGGUUUAGGGACAAAUUGAUAAAAUUCUCUUUAGUAGUCACAUUAAUAAUAAACAAAAAGAAAUGAUCCAAAAUUUGGAUAUACUUUUGGUCAAGUUAGCUAGACUUGGAGAUGAUGACAAUGGAAGCACUUGACAACAUGUUAUACAUUUAAGCAUCAAGCAAUCAGUAAUUGUAGGGUUCUAUUGUCAAUGUUAAUGGACACGAGAAAGGAGCUAGCACAUGAUCUGGAAGCAGGUCUGUGCUGAUUGCAUCAGCUAACUUGCUUUCUUUCUAGUACUACAUUACUACACCAUCGAACACCUUGGUCUAUUGCAAUUGCAUGCAACAUAGGCUUUAGUGAUGCUAGAUCAUUUUGAUAAAUGUUAUAUAUCAUCAAGCACCGGUGCAAAGCGAGUAAAGUUGCUGUUUUAUAAAGUGUGUACAUCAUGUAUAUAAUGAACAAAUAAACAUGUUUGUUUGUUGUUUAUAUAUAUGUAUAUAUGCUUUUGAUCCUCAUAACUUGUGAUAUAUUUCUCUCUUAUGUUGUGAUUUCCAGGCACAAUCAUAUAUACAUGCUUCUAAUGGAACAUCACUUCAAACGUGUAAAAGAGGUGGUAACCAUGUUCAAUGUAAUUGUUGUCCUAGAGUUUAUCAUAGAGGUGUAUGCUUUGACUUCAUAAGAAAAUCUUAUAUACAUGUACAUGCUUACACACGCAUAUAGGAUAGACUCCAAACUAAAAUGUUAAAUGAUUGACUAAAGAUGUAAAGAUUCAAAAACUAAUGAUGGACCAUCCAAAUUGGAGAUCCAAGUAGUUGAUUUAAUCUACAUAUCCAAAAAUGCUUGGAAUACAAAAUCAAAUGUUUUGGAGUGGUGGUAUUAAAGGCAGCUGCAUAGGCGCCUAGGCGGCUACCAAAAGUGCUUAAUUUGGUUGAGCUGCCUAGUGCAAGGCUGCUUAAACCCUAUGUAUUUAAGAGUUUCAUUUUCUAUUUUCUUUCCUUAUUGGACUCCCAUAUGAGAUAUGUGGGAGGGCAAUGGAUGGUAUCACCAACCUAAUAGCAGCUAUUAGGUUGAUCAACGGCAAUUGACAUGUGAUCUGACAGUGACAAUUGGAAAUGAUGCCUCAAUGGCCAUCACUAGUGCCAAGUUUGUGUAUAUUUCUUUCUUUCUUUCCUUUAAGGUAUGCCAUCUCGGUACCGGGCCCCGUAUUGAUACCGUCUUGUGACUAUGUCGGUACGCCCGAUACGAGGGCCGGUUCGGCAUACCGAGUAUCGGUACGUUUCCUAUAUCGCGUACCAGUUCAGUACCAGUAUAGUAUCGUACGUUCCAUACCAUCUGGUUUGAUAUGGUAUUUCAUACCUUGGCAUUCCUUCUUUCUUUCUUUUUCGUCUUCUCCACCUCGUCCUCCGUCACCUUCUUUCUAUAAUUUUUUUCUUCGUUUUCUUUUACUCCUACCACUAACCAUUUUUCUGCUUGUUCCCCUUUUAUUCUGCUUUCCUCCCCCAUGAUGGUUGUUGGCUGUGGCCCCGCAAUCUGUUGGUUGUUGCUUCCUUCCCUCCCGCUUUUUGCUAAGUGCUAGUUGUUGUGGUGGCAACACUAUUGUUGCUCUCCUCCUAGAUUUUGUUCUUGGACUUUUUAAUUGUGAAUAAUAGGCUUGAUGCCACAUAUGGUGAAAAAAAGAGUGCAUAUAUGAUAAAUGCACAUGCUUAUUUAUCAUAAGACUAGAGGUCUAUAUACUAAAUCUUAAAGGGACUUCCUUCCUGGGUAGUCACCUAAGUGCCUAGGCAGUUCCUUAGGAUGUAUAAGGGGUCUGUGGCCUUGCCUAGGCAGUUUGAGAAGCUUGCUUUGGAGAAUUAUGACCUAAGCAUCAAGUGGAUAUGAAAAUGAAUUGUGCUAGUAUGUUGAUAUACAUGAUAAAUUGAAAAUUCACUUCAUUGAUCAUGAUCUACAUAUUAUAUACCAUUACUAAAGGAACAUAUUUCAAUGAUUAGAUAUAGCGAAACAUAAUAACAUGAUAUUACAAUUGUAAUUUUGCCCUUUAGUAAUGGGCAAACUGGACGGUUUCGCCCGUUUCGAGCCAUACUGGUGGCUCACCGGUACGAUUCCGACUUUAAAAAUGGCUCGCUGCUGGAGCUAGAGAAGAAGAAGAGAAAGAGAGAGCGAGCGGGGGAGGGAGGGAGGAGCGGCGGUGAACGUCGGCGGAGGGCCGGCGGAGGCCGCGGCCACGGCUAAAAAAUUUUAAAAUUUUUAAGUGAAGUGGGCAAACUGCUUGUCGACUUCACUUAAAAUUUUUUAAAUUUUUUAGCCGCGGCCUCCGCUGGCCUUCCGCCGGCGUCCGCCACCGCUCCCUCCCUCCCUCCCCCGCUCUCUCUCUUUCUCUUCUUCUCUGGCUUUGGCUCUAACAGGUUUUUUCUCUCGGUACGGGCCCGGUACGGAGACUCGUUCUGCCAGAGAAUCAGUACAGUAUCUGGUACCGGUUCCUCCGACACUGAUCUUGGAUUUUUGGAAAAUGAUGAAAUGCAUGCAUUAGUCAUUCUAAUUUUCAGGUUUUUUCUUUCACUCUCUGAAAUGUGAAUCCUUUUAUGAAAGAUUUAACAUUAGUGCAUAAUCCUCUCCCCUUUAUAUAUAUAUAUGCAUCUUUUUUGCCAAAUUAUUCGAUAAUGCGCUUCAUUAUCAUUAGUGUAGUAUGUCACUAUGUUAUGGCUAUAUAAAUGGGAUGUUUAGGAAAUUUAAAUGCAUGCAUUACUAGUGCUAUGAGAACUAGUUAAACCAUGUAGGUUGACCCGCUCAACUUGUCACUGCUAACUUUUGCAUGUUCAGCCAGAUCUAAGCCUAGAAAAUUCCAAAACUUGAUAAUCUAAUGACUCGAAUUGUUUAACCCAAGAUUUGCCACAUCGCUGCAUACCGCCCCGUACCAGACAUUUCUUACUAUACUGGUACUAAUCUAAACUCGGUACAAGAUGCGUACCUUGUCUCGGUAUGCUGAACCAACCCCAUAUCGAGCGUACUGACACUAUACCAGCAUAAUAUGGGUAUGGGGUCCGGUAUCGAGAGGACAAACCUUGGUUCAACCGUUUGAACCACUUGUUCAAACUAAUUUCAACCCAUCCAAGUUGAUAAUGAAUAGAAAAAUCAUUUUCCAACAAUGCAAAAUAAUUCGCCUAUUAAUGCAUAUGUUGCCAUGUUGCAGUGGCUUAUGGCAUGAUUUGAGUCAGUACUGGAGGUGGAGCAUGACGUGACCAAGAAAGAAGGUGACAUGGUGGAUCUUACUGCAAGAUGAUGGUUUUGACAGGAAUGGAGGCGAGGCAUUAGAUCUCAUGCAACAGAUGAUUAGCCUAAUCUCGUUGAAUCAGAGCAAGAUGGAUGGAUCUGCUAUGGCCUUAAAGGUAAUGUAGCUGCCUAAUCUUAUGGUCUUCGAGGUGAAGCGGCUUAGAUCUGGUGAAAUAUGGCAAUCUCGCUGCCCAUCUCCUAGUUUUAGGUGGUAUGCUAGGGGAGGGAUGGUGGGAUGAGUGGUUCGAUGUUAAAAUGAUGGGGGUAAAAAGAUGAUUCAGGUCACUCCACUGUUUUGGAGUUAGCAAAGAAAAUAUAAAGCAUGGGCAGGGGCAUUGAACCUUUCCUUUUUAAGUUCACUAGUUGACCUGCAGUCGAACCAGAAACCCUUAACCCAGAUAACCCAGUGGUUUUGUCUAGGUUGCCAAGUUCAGAAUAUUUGCAUUAUUUAUUCUAAUUUAAGGUUCUUUUUUUUUUUGCAUUUGCACCCUUUGGAACUAUAAUAUCUACUUGUUUAUCCUUAUGCAUAUUUGCACAUUGGCACCAUUAAUUACUUGAAUUGGUGCAUAAUCACUGUUAGAAUUAAGAACUGUGUGCCAAAAGGGAAUAUCCAUAAAUAUAAUCUCGCAGACAAUUAUCUCCAGAUAAUUUUACCUACUAUUACCAUUUCAUUCAACGAAAAAAUAUUAUUAUUUUUCGUACUAAAGAUCUCGAAAGGAGGAAGAUGCUUGAAGAAACUGUUGGAAGGAGAAAAAGAUGCAUGUAAAAGGCAUCAUAUAGGGAAGAGGAAAGGCUUGGUCAACUUACCUUAGUCACGGAGUUAAUUGGAGGGAGAAUAGGUCAUUCAUUUCUUCAGUUAAGUCCUAACCUAGAGACUUGUUAUGUUUAUAUGAAAGAUGGUUGAUGGAAGGGCCUAUAUGCACAGUUUACCAUAUUUACAUGGUUUGAUAUACAAACAUGGGUAUGAAUAAUCUAGAUAUUCUAGAGGCACUCAUAAAUUUGUCAAUGUGCUCAUGCAAAAUUGAAUAUACCUGCUACGAAUUGUUUAUUUUGGAAACUUGAAUUAGAUGCAUGCUAAGAUAGAUGAUGUCUGAUUGGCGGCUAUGAUACACUGGUAUGUGCAAUGACUAACAUCCUUUUGGAUUGAUAUAGGUUGGGUUUAUUAGGUAAACACAAAUUUAUGAAAUGCAUAAGUUGAUAUGGAUUAUAUAUAAUCAGUGUCUUUGGCAAACUACAUUAACAAGGACAAGAAAUUUCCUUUUGCAUAGCUAUGCGCUCUAUAUUUUACAAUUGAUUGGAUAUAGAUCUACCAUGGCUAAUGUCCUUAUCCAUAUACAUAUUUAUUCAGCAGAUACAAAUUUAGUUAUGGAUUUCGAUCAGAUACUAAAAUUUGUAUCCAUAUUUAUUAUAAUCGGAUUAGAUAUGAAUUAGAUACAAAUUAUCCAUAUUUGAUUAAAGGAAACUGCUAUGUGAUUCCCAAAGGUACUUGAAAAGGCUGUAAACUAUCGUUUGGGAAAUCAUCCAAGGCAAACUUGGUAUUUUGAAACAAAAAAUGGAUAGAAUCUAGACUUUAGUAAUAUUGUUAUUGGUUCAAAGACAUCCGGACAUGAAUUGGACAGUGGUGAGAAGAAAACAGAAGAAUUUAACUAUAAGCUUCUAGUCUAUAUUGCUUUUUUUCGCGAAAUAUAGUUUAGAAUUGAAAUGGUUUAUAUAUAAGAAAAUUUGGAGAAGAAUUUAAACACAAAAAUCAGUUGCAAUAUCAGAUAUUUGUGUCAACAAAUCAUGCAAGUUUUAAAAUACAAAUUUGGUAAAUUUUAUAAAAUCAAAAUUAAUUAAUGACUACGGUUUGCUGUCAUAUAUAAUAAGAAACGAAUUUAACUCAUGAUUUUGUGUGUGUUAAAGCAAUGCAUAGAUGAUUCAUAUCAUCAACUGCUAAAACAACAAAAGUUGCUGUUUAUGUUGUCAUGCGGUCGAAAGCAAAGUGUUCUCAUUGGAGCAAUAUGCGAUGCAUGAGGACUUUGGAAUUUUUGCAUUAUUAGAUAUUUGUAUAAUCAAAUUAUUCAUGUUUAAAAAGUAAAUUUGGUGACUUUUGUGCAAUCAAACUUAAUGAAGUUUUGAGUAUGAGCUAUGGUUUGCUGUCGUAUAUAACAAGAAAUUAAUUUAAGGCAUGGUCACGUACGUUAAAGCAACACAGAUGAUAGCAAAUUGUCCACUGCAUACCAAAGGUGUGGUUUAUAUUCGUUAUGCAGUGUACCUCCAAAAAAAGUUUGGUAUGUAGAGGAAAAUAAAGUAUUUUCAUUGUAGGAUUAUGCGAUGCAUGAGGCCUCUGGAGUUUGUAUUUAUAAUUGAUCUCAUUUGCCGUCCCACAAUAUCUUUCUUGCAUCCAUCCCAUUUGAACAUGGAGACAAUGUUUUCGGUGCAGCACAGGUCUAAGUCAUGCCUAACCACAAAACAUCAAGUUUGAUGAAGGCCUCUAGGAAACCCAGCAGAAUUCACUCAUUCUACUAGUCCACUCCAGUUUUAGAGGACCAAAAACUGUAAGUGCUAUGAAUGCAACCUCUUUUUUGCCCUUCCUUUUGAAAUUUCAUUCUUGUUGCCCUUAUUUGCAAAAUGAGGCUCAACUUUCCUCUUCAUUAUUUCUUGUUCCUUACUUUUGAGUCCAAUCCUUGCUUGGUAAGGGCAACUGAGCCCAACAACCAAGAUCCAGUUUCAGGGCUGAGCAAACCCCACUUGUGAUGAGGCGCCUCUGCUCUCUCAAGGCUGAGUGAACCCCGCUUGUGCUCUGGCAUGGUGCAAGGCUUUCUUGAAUAAGUGUUUCCUUUCCCCAUAAUGAGCUAGGAAAGAAACUGACGAGUGGACUUCACUUGUGCUCCAGCAUGUUCCUUGAGAAGAAUGAGGUAGUUGGCCUUCUAUUCUUUGGAUUGCAGAUCAAAGUGGAACUCGACCCUUAACAUUUGAUGCUGAAGGCUUUGGAUGGAUGGUGGAGAUGCAUAGAUAGAAGUUUCAUGGAAGCCAAGGAGGAACCUAGGGCAAAAGUUAGAAAUUAGGAAAAGAAAGUGGAAAUAGGUUGGAAUUGGCUUGUUUGAUAUUUUUUGUUAUCUGGAAUUAGAUUCCUCAAGGAAUCUCUGAAUCAUGAUGUGUCCAAAUUUGAGAAUAUUUCAAGGUUUUCUUUUUUGAGAUCCAUACCAUAUUUUAGAUGGAUAUAGAUAUAGAUCUGGAUUUGUUCAGACUUUAUCUGACCCGUUUUCAGCCUUAAUGCAUGAUAGUUAAUUAUGCACUGUGACAUGGAUAUGGGAUACUGAUAUAAUGCAUUAUACAUAAAUGAAUAUAACAAAUGUUGAAAAAGUAGGAAAUGUUACAGCUAAGAUAUCACAUUCUGUAGUUAUCAUUAUCAUUUGCAUGUGUGAAACAACAUCCAUAAAGCAUGGUGGGUCAUCAAAAUAUUAUGUUACGUACUUUAUACAAUUAUUUGAACAUCCACAAGAUCUAUCAUUUAAUCAUCAUUCAAAUCCAUAGAGUAUAUCCAUAAAUUAGGCCAUAAUUUUAGUGAAGCAAACUCCAAAAUUUAUUAUUCGUCAUUAUGAGGUAAGCAUUUAUCAAAAAGGAAAAAAUGAAGUAAAUAAAUUGUCGCCCCCCAUUAUUGGAGAUAUUGUGGAGAUAUAUCUGGCGUAUUCAAUGUGUAUCUGAAAUCUUUGUCUUAAUUUUGAAAAAUAGGUUGCAUAGAAGUAUUUAACAAAUAUUGAUAUCUGAUACCUUAUUCGAUAUGGAAAUGACAUGCAAUUGAAGUUUUCAUGCUUCCUAAACUGUUAGCAGCUAUUGAAAUUUAGAUACAUGAGGAUGCCGAAUUUUCUUUUGAGCCUUCCUUUUUGUAUAUCUUUAAUAACCAUAUAUUAUCAAGGGGCAUACCUGUUAUCUUAUUCUGUAAAGUUGGUUGCUUAGGGAGAUCCAAAGAUGACAAUUUUUAUUGCCUAUCUAUAAUGAUGUGUAAGAAUCCAAGGAGAAUGAAUCAUUCUAUUAGAAGUGACUCUUUGUACCACCAUUAAAGGAACAUUAAUCCCAAAGAAGGAAAAUGGAUAAUGUAAAGUUGAGAAAAAAACUUGUACUUAUUCUUUUCAUUUGUGGGCGAUUUCUUAGUUGUGGCACCUAGUCUCAAUCGCAUCUAGUCUAGAUGGUUAUGUAUGUAUAAGUUUUGUAUAUCUGACUCGCUCGACUUUCUUCAAAACCCUUGACAUUAGAUGCUUCAUGGAAUUAUUGUUGAACAGGAAUCAUAAUUUUGGGGAUACUUGGGGCUAAACCCCAUCAUAGGUGUUAUGACUCCUGAAGAUAAAGAGGAAGAAUGCUUGAUAUCCCUUUGUUAACUUCAGAUGACUCUCAGGAUCUUUGACUGCCAAUAUAGAAGCUCUAAAGGAGUAACUGAACAUUUUUGCCUCCAUAGAAGUUUCUUGAUAUCAUGGUCCUUGUUGAGUUCGUAUCAGUGAAUCUACCUGGAGGCAUUAGUUGGCAAGGCUGUCUAAUUGCCAUGGCAAAGUUGAUUCAAGCUAGACAUUUUAUUUUAACACAAAUAUCAGCAUUACUUCUAAUAAGAAAGAUAAAACUUGCACUAUCUUAUGCAGUCUGCUAAAAAGAUUCUACAAACUUCACCUCUAUUCUGUCAGUCACUUGCAAUGUUUACAUAUUCAUAAAAAAAGUUUCAUGUUUUUACUUAUGGGAUACAUUUUUUAAUUUGUCUAGAGCCGUCUCAAAAUACUCUGCUCGACUGGCUCCUAUAUGUUGACUGAUAAUGGAGGAUCUUGCAGCAAGAGAAGUGGUUUAAGCAUCUCUCUUUCUAGUCCUAAUGGUCAUGUGCUUGGUGGUGGUGUUGGUGGAUUGCUCAUGGCUGCAACCCCUGUACAGGUAACUAGUUUGGACCUCUUGUUAUAUUUUAUGCAACUGAGUUCUGAUAUGCUAUUGCACUUUGGGCAUGUGUAGUUUUGAUAAUACUUUGAAUCUCAUCUUGUGUCAAUUUUCCCCAUUUUUUCGUAUUUGGACUCUUGUGGAGGUAUUGAGUAUCAUUGUUUAUUUGUAGGUGAUAGUGGGAAGUUUCAUGUAGAGUGGAUGAACAGGGAAGGACAAAACCAAGACCAGCCAAGAAUCAAAUGUUGAACCUGAGAAUCCAAUGGAGUAUAAAAAGAACACACCAUCCGGUGCGCCGCCCAACUAAAAUCUCACCUCCUCUGUCCUGGGAGGAUGGCCUGGUUUGAGGCUAAGGGACAUGUGGAAUGCUCACAUUGAUAUUGAGUUGAAGCUCAUGCUGGUUAUUUGUACCUAGACAGGUGGUGUGUAUAUGUGGCACUUGUAGGAUGAUGGGGAGCCUUAGGAAAGUAGCAACAUUAUGUGAGUCUUACCGAUCUUGCAUCUUGUUCCUUUAUAAUCUCAUUUUUACUAAUUUCAUUUUGCAGAAGAUGCCAACCAUGCCAACCAUGUUGUUGCCUUGUGGUGUGAAUUUUUUUGGUUAUCUCUAUUGUCAUAUUUAGCAUUAGAUGAGGUUAUGUAUUGCUUGUACAUUAUUGCUAUGCUGUCUUCUACUUGAGAUACUCUCAUGAAAUUAAUCAUGCAGGAAUUCAGUUUCUUCCCUGUUGUCUCAGGCAGCAGUAAAUUUUCACGAUAUCAACAUGUGAUGACAAAGCCUUUUUCAGUUUUAGUGUUGCCUGUAACCCAUUUGAGUGCUUAUCCUAUCAAAUUUUUAGUCAAGUCUUACAUGUGCAAUAUUCGCACGUUAUUGCAAAUUUACUUUUGGUCAUUUUCACCAGAUCUAGUGGUAUGCUCAGAGAUGUGGUUCAUUUGGUUUGUCAUCAUAAUGUUGUCAGACUACUUGAAUCUGGCCUAUAAUUUCAGAUUUUUAUGGCAGGCUUUUGUUGGUCCAAAUUAAAUUUCUAUGUGGUAUAUAUCCACUUAGAUCUAGUUAGAUCAUGAUUGGACAUUGGGGGUCUAAAAACGAUGACUGAAACCGUUGGAUAUGAUCUACCACCUCUAAACUGCUUAUACACCAAAAUCUUGUGACUUAGAGACCCCUAGCCUAUAUACCAAGUGGUAAAAAUACAUUUAUUAUUUCGUAUUUAUUUAAACUGUCCAAUUUUUAACCACUUGAUGCAUAGGCUAAGGAUCUCCAAAUCACAGUAUUUUGGGUGUGUAAGCAAUUUGGAGAAAGUAGAUCACAUCCAACAGCUAGGAUCAUCGAUUUGGACCUCCAUCAUCCAACCAUGACUAGACUGGAUCUAAGUGGAGACCCACUUGACCAGGACCUUGUCUACCUAACCAGAUCAUUGAUGUUGGACCCUUCUUUAUUACAAUUUGCAAAUAAAGACAUCCACUUUAAUAUUUGCACAUCACAUGUAUAUUUCUGCAUCAUUUGAUGCAUGUUAUACAUGGAAAUCUAACAUGGAUGAAGGAAUUUGCAUAUGUGCGAUAAAAUCCAUAAAGCUUAGUGAGUCAUCAAAAUAACACAGUACAUACUUUAUACAAUAGUAUGUACAUUCACAAACCCUAUCACUUGGUCAUCAUUCAAAUCCAUCAACUAUAAUCCAUUCUUUAUAUUACAAAAUUAGUGACAAACUUCAAAAUUUAUUAUUCAUCAUUAUAAGGUCAACAUUCAUCUAAAAGAAACUGAUGUAAAUAAAUCCUUGCUCCUCAUUAUUGGAAAUAUUUAGGGAGGCAUCUGAGGUGUAUUUAGGAAGCAUCUAAAACCUUCUUUUAACAUUGAAAAGUAAAAUACUUAAAAUAAGUAUGUGGCAUGGAUCCUUGAAGUGUCCGACAAAUACUCAUAUAUGAUACCUGCUGAUAUGGAUGUUAUGCAAAUUGGAGUAUCUAUGCUUCCUAAACUUUCAGCAGCUAUUGAAUAUUAGAUACAUGAGGAUGCACAAUUUUCUUUUGCAUUGUUUUGUAUGUCUUUUGAUAACCAUAUUAUUAUUGAGGGGCAUAUAUUUCUAUUUUAUGCUGUAAAGUUAGUUGCUUAGGGAUAUGCAAAAAUAACAAUUUUCUAUUCCAAUAUAUUUAUAUUUUUUAAUGAUAUUAAAAAAUCCAAAUGAUUGGCUCUACAAUAUUGCGUGAUCUAAAAUUUUUCUAUUUUUACCCAAAGAUGAAGGCAAAAUGUGGUUUUACAAAAUAAUUCUUUUAGGAUGAAAGAACAUACAAGGAGAAGGAAUCAUUGUAUUGGAAGUGACUCCUCAAGCCUCCAUUAGAGGAGCAUUAACCCCAAAGACGGAAGACAGAUUAUAUAAGGUUGAGCAGGAAAAUAGGGAAACUAAUAGCGUUGUUAAUUGGGUGAUUGCUAACGUGGCUAGUUACAUAAGGGCUAUGCUGUGGGACUUUGCUGCCGUUGAUAACCCCAGCUUCUGGAUCUUCUGUAUGCUGACUCUCGUGGAUGUAUUUAUCCAAGGAGUAUAUAAUACACUGUCCUGCAGAGAGAGAGAGAGAGAGAGAAACUUGAACUUAAACUAAUGUUUGUCAAAAUUCUACUACAUUGUUUUGCCCUUUUUGUUACCCUAAACUAUAAUGACUCUGGAGUAUAGAUUCUAGGGAACUUAUUCGUAAUUCUACGACUUGGAUUAGAAGUUGUCAAGUAAGUCAACAGAUUAAAAAAAUGAGGAAGAGAGGUAUAUGGCGUGCAAGGAUGGUUAUACUUCCAUUAUUUUCUUGCUCCCCCUUCCUCUAUCUCUCAUUGGUUUGUCCUUCUUUUAGGCCCCUAAAACACUCAUCUGCAGCCCUCAUAGAUGAUGUAUGAGUAUGGAGGUUAGGUGCUCUGUAAUAUCUCUUCAAAUUUAAGUUGGGACUACUAUAGCUGCCAAUCUUCCUUACCUGCCUUGGAUAAGUUAUGAAUUCCCCACAACUUAAAAGAGGGACUAACAUGGAAAAAAGGGACCAUAAAUGACACUAAAACUCAACCAUUGGUCAAUUAUACACUGUAAAACUUACAAUAACGCUUCUUAAAACACAAAAUGGCCAAAAAUAGAUCACUUAUGUCUCAAAAUCAUCUCCCUAAGACUUAAAAAAAAAAGGUCAUAAAACAAGCUUAUAAAAUAAGCUAAAUCAGUCUACACCAAACCUGAACCUUAUAUGCCAUAAGGUGAAAAUGAAGGUUUGAAAUGCAUGUACAAUUAUUUAGUUAUGAUGGACUGUUACCACAGUCGCAUUAUUCUUUAUUAGGAUUUCAAUAUUUCCUGGUAAGCCAAAACUUUUGUUACUAUCUUUUUUUCCGAAGCAGUCUACUGAGUUCUUCUCAACGGUUUGCUCAAACCUUUCCCUAUCAUGGCUCUUUCGGAAUGCGCCAAAUUUUCUAAGCAACGUGGAAAAGUGCAGGGAUUUGGUUCUUUGCAUAUCUUCAUGUACUGAUAGGAGGGAUUGUCAUUCCCUGUGAAACAUAGUAUAUUACACAUAUUGAAAGCCUUUUAUUGUCUUUUUGUUAAUACCAACCUUAUGAAACAAAAUCUUUCAGAAAUGUGUCUUUUCCAUUGUUCUAGUAUGUUUCUUUCUUUCCUUCAAGAGUGAUUCCUUUAUUGGGUGUGUUAAGGUCUUUUUAUUUUAUAUGGUAAACUUCCAUUUAUAAACUAUUCCAAGGACAUUCAUUUUGGCAUUUACUUCUGUCCAUAGUAUGCUACUUUUGGAAUCUUCCAAAAGAAGUUUAAUUAGAAUAUCCUCAAUUUUACCCAACUAACCCAGCUUGUCAUGUUACUAUUUCAUAUCAUCACUGUCUAUUAUAGUAUUCAUAUUGCAUGAAUCACAGAAUCAAUUUUUAUAUCAUAUAUCUUGAUGAUACAUUUUUACCACUUUACAAUAAUCUUAAAUUUCAUCACAUGUUUGUGCUUGGGAUUGAUGUGGAGGACUAAUUUGAGAUAUUACAUAUCUAGUUUCUUUUUUCUUUCUGACUAAACUUAUAGCUACUUCAUUUUCAGGAUUUCAAUUGAAAUGGUAUGUAUUAGUAUGUAAAAUCUGGCACAUUGCUGUGCAUACCAUCAAAAAUUCAAGGGCUAAUAUAUGCAAAGGCAAUUUUAUUGCUGGCACCAUCUCAAACA
rnacentral:lncRNA from 1 species